rfam:Arabidopsis thaliana chromosome 4, complete sequence.
GCACCAACAGUACCAUGUGCAGAAACUCUGGUCUUAAGUUGCUUGUGAAUACGAGCCACUGGAAACUGAAAGAAACAAAGAAACAAUAUCAGUAUAAAAUUUCAUCAAAUUAGACUACAAAAAAUGAAAUUUCUUUGUUUAUUUCAAUUUCUAGUGGGUCGUAUUCACAUACAACUCAAGACUAGAGUAUCUACAACAUGGUCUACUUGGUG